rnacentral:rRNA from 1 species
AUUGAACGCUGGCGGCGGGCCUAACACAUGCAAGUCGAGCGGUAGCACAGGGAGCUUGCUCCUGGGUGACGAGCGGCGGACGGGUGAGUAAUGUCUGGGAAACUGCCUGAUGGAGGGGGAUAACUACUGGAAACGGUAGCUAAUACCGCAUAACGUCGCAAGACCAAAGAGGGGGACCUUCGGGCCUCUUGCCAUCAGAUGUGCCCAGAUGGGAUUAGCUAGUAGGUGGGGUAACGGCUCACCUAGGCGACGAUCCCUAGCUGGUCUGAGAGGAUGACCAGCCACACUGGAACUGAGACACGGUCCAGACUCCUACGGGAGGCAGCAGUGGGGAAUAUUGCACAAUGGGCGCAAGCCUGAUGCAGCCAUGCCGCGUGUAUGAAGAAGGCCUUCGGGUUGUAAAGUACUUUCAGCGGGGAGGAAGGUGUUGAGGUUAAUAACCUCAGCAAUUGACGUUACCCGCAGAAGAAGCACCGGCUAACUCCGUGCCAGCCGCCGCAGUAA